CUUUGAAAUACAAGAGACAAUACGAAGCAUCAUGGGCUUUCAGAAACCCAUCGCUGAUGGUAGCAGCAUCAGUACCCCAACUCACAGAGGGCAGAGCAGGCUCAGCAGGCACAGCAGCUGCCAGCCAGUAUGCAAGGCUGGGAGUAGGCGGACAGCUGGAGCUGCAGCUCAAACCCCACCAGUAAGGGCAGAAAAAGGGAGUGAGCAGGUGGAAAGACCAGCAAGAGGGCAUUAGGACAACCAGCACAACAAAACAGGGGAUGCAUCCAGCACACAAAACCCAAAACAGCAAGAUAAUGCUGCUCUCUGGCCAUGAGACCAGCCUGUCUGCGCUUACCUGGACCAACAUGAGCACCUCAAGCCAUACACAGCACCAUCCUACAGCCCACACCAGGGCUCAGGGCCUUAAAUAAGGUCUGAGUGGGCCAAGGGCUUGCAGCUGGUGCCCCACACCUGGCCACAGUCACGGCUGAAUGAGGGCAAUCCCUGGCAAGCUCUGCCCCAGGGCCACUAACCCCAUCCCCAGGAGGGGAGGGACACCAGGAAUAGUCCCUGGAUGGACAGGGCUGAAAGCAGCCAGUUCACGCAUCACGGCACAGAGGCAUUCUCCAAAAACCAGCACAGAAGUUACUGGAGGUCUGGAAAAUCAAGUAGCCUUCCAUACUGCUUUCUAUACCAUCACCAGCAGUAAAAAUUAUACUGACAGUAACUGGCCUGUCUUGAUGUGCUAACAUCCAACAACCUCAGUGACACCAGGAGGAGACCACGCAGCUGCCGCCAGCCUCAUCAUAACCCCUUGCCAUACAAGUGUUUGGGGCUGUUUGAGGAUGGAAAACUCAGGAGAAAAGGAGCUCUUCCCUCCCACUCCCACCAAGGAGAGGGGACCCGAAUGCCACCCUAUUGCAGCCGUCAGGAGCUGGUGCUUGCAGCAAGCCCUGCCAAACAGCAGCACGCAGCUGGAGCACGUCCCUGGGGAUGCCUGGACACGGGCUGAGUGCUGGCCUUGCAGCCUCUGCUGUGCUCUCACAUCUGCCCCAUCAUCUCCUGCAAUUCACAGAAACAUUUAAGCCUCCUCCCUGGGAAAGCCUAUCAGGUUCCUCCUCUGUCAAAGUCAAGUGGAUUUAAUUAAGUCAAUCCAAUCCAGGCUAGGACUGGUCAAGUUCUCCCCAAAGGUACACGAUGGAGUUACCAAUGUUUUCACAGGAAUUAAACUUAUAAUACAAUAGACAAAAAUAAAGCAGGCUUUGUACGUGCCGUUACA
rnacentral:lncRNA from 1 species